GACGUAGGGCGCGAGCGUUGUCCGGAUUUAUUGGGCGUAAAGAGCUCGUAGGCGGCUUGUCGCGUCGAAUGUGAAAACUCGGGGCUCAACUCCGAGCUUGCAUUCGAUACGGGCAGGCUAGAGUUCGGUAGGGGAGACUGGAAUUCCUGGUGUAGCGGUGAAAUGCGCAGAUAUCAGGAGGAACACCGGUGGCGAAGGCGGCAUCCUGGACCGGCAUUGACGCUGAGGCGCGAAAGCCAGGGGAGCGAACAGG
rnacentral:rRNA from 1 species